UUUAUAGACUAUACCUGACUGUUUUUCGCGCCGAACCAGAGUAUAAUAUUAUGAACCAAUACUAGUAGGCCCAACGAGUUACCAAUACUAGUGGGCUACAAGAACCAUUCUCCAUCUUUUCUAAAUUUACACAAUACUUGAUUUCGGUCGACAUAUCGAAUUUAUCGCGAAACGCCAAACUUGUGACUGUGCUUCUAACCCUAAUAGAUGCUGCAGAGAGUGGUCAACAACAACUGCACUCACUGUGGAAUGAAAAGGACCACCACAACACAUUUGGUGUGUGUGGUCUCACCCAAAAUGAUAGAUGGACUCAAAUGCAUCAAACACACCCCUCUUUGUUGGGAGAACAUCCAAAAGGAGUGUGAGUUGGUGACAUGUCUUAUUCAUUGCAGAAGGCAUGUUGUUUGUUAUUCAAUGAUAUCCAAAGCAUAGAGCUGGCAACCUGCAUCCUUACAAGAAGGUUCCGCAUAUCUCCGAGUUCUGCGGCACGAUCCAAACAACACCUUAGAGGGUAUUUGGAUUGACGAAUCUCUAGAUCCAAUGUAACUCAAGGACAGUAGUGUUUGGAGUUUUUCUGAAGUGUGAUUAUCUUUUUGUUGUUUAUUUUGAUAUAAUUCGUAUAGUCUGAAAAUUAAAUUCAAUCACUUCUUUUAUUUGUUUUGCUAUAACUUAUGCUAGUAAAAUUAGUUUUUUAGUUUCAUUAUUUAUUUUAAUGUAAGUAAGUGGAUUCUGUUACCUCCAAAAUAUAGUGAUAAACUUACCCCUAUAUAAUCCAACUUAUUAAAUAAUUAAAUUACUUAUUAUUGUUUGGAAGUAAUCUUAACCCAUUGUAAAAAAUUUAAAAAAAAAAAAACUCUGAUUCAUUUUGUAAAGAAAGUAUAGUUUAGAUUUUAAUAUUUAACAAAACUUUUAAAGGUUGAGUGGGGUAGAACUUAUGUUCGAUAUUCUAGGGAAAAAAAAUCAAGAAUAGGUGAAGUGCAGGUCUAACGAAAUUUGAUUUACAUUAUUUUUUUGACUUACGACAAAACAAACACAAAAAAUGAUGAAAUUUAAGUUCCGCCACUCCACAUACACCCAAAAACCAAACAUUCCCUUAGCGUCUAUACGUCAUCAUUCUAUCAAUGAACUUAACAUCUGAUGAUGAAACGAACCAAUUUGACUUGUAAAUAAAAGCUCAGGGGGUAUUAGGUUCAAUUUCAAAGAACACAAGGGAAGGUGAAACUUUUGCUAAAAGUUCAGGGGGCCAUUUACAAACACUUCUACACAUCAGGAAAAGCGAAAAAUGGCAUCAAUUAAAGAGCCAUAUAUUCACUAUUAUACAAGACUAGAAGUUAUCGGUACUCCUUAUUGUACAAAGGAGCUCAAGAUUCUUAAGAACAAAAUGACUGCUCACAAAUCAGUGAGAGUCUGAAGCUGCAGACAUAGCUCACAAAUACAACAGGAACAUUUUACCCUCCUAGGUUGUACAACAAAUUCCUAACUACUUUCAUCAGAUGUUGCAUCGAUCGUAGCCGGAGAACCACGUAACGGGAUCUGUCGCUUUAGAAAACUCAUCGUCCAUCUCGUGUCUGAAAGGCUCGUCGAAUUCUUUGCCCCUCCAUCUAUGAUCAUUGGAAGUUAGCCCGCCUGAAUAUUUUGCUUCUUCCGGAGUGUUUAAAUUAGCAGGUUUAUGAUCUUUCGUUGAACGAAACUUCUCGAGAUACUGAUUUAGUGAAAUGAUUUCUUGGUCGUAAUUCUUCUUCAAAUUGUCUAUCUCUUGAUAGGCUUUCUCGGUCUCCUGCUCUGCCAUUAAUGCUCGCUUCUGCGAAAUAGUAGAAGGUGAGGUUACAGAAUAGAUAUUCUCCAAUGUAAAAACUGUCGAUACUUUGGACGUACAUUUCAGUUGAACGUAAUCACAGCUUGCAUGACAUUCUGACAACUUAACUUUAAAGUAGAAUUUAUCUAGUUAGCAUUUGAUUUAAAAUAAUGUCACAAGUUCCGAAAGACUACGAGGGAGUUUCCAUUAAUCCAGUGGUCACCACUGAAAAGCAUAAGCGGAAAUUGCAAUGAAAUAAUGAAAAAUAUUAUCGAAUUGUGACGUAUCUGGAAAAAAUAGCUUCAAAAACUACACAAGGCUCGGUAAGUGCCAAGAAUGGUGUUACUUUCACUGUUGGAGACAUUUCAUUGCUUCACUGGAACAAUGUAGAAUAUCUCGUACAAUUCAUAAGGCGGGAUAUAUAGAAUGACCUCAAACUGUAUAAGAUUGUACCUUUCAAAUGGACAAGGCUGUUAAUCUGUCACUGUACACAUAUGAUAAAGAUAAUAUGAUCUUUAUUCUCAUCCUUCUAGUUUUCUUCAAAGUCAAUUGCUACUUUUUAUUUGCUUGGAAGAUUUAACUUGCUGUACACUUUCAAUGCUAGUAAAUAUUUAUCAGUCGCGAUGCUUACAUUUAUGCUUAGAUUGCUACUUAAUAGAUUUCUAUGUCAUUACCACUCCUUUAUAAACUCCGAAUAUCUUUAAAGUAUGGACGAUAUUUCUUAGAGAACCAUCAUCCCUGUCCGAGGUAGAAACACCUUAGCCCAUCAAUGGAUUCAAGUAAAAAAUGGUAGUAUUUAUUACAAUGCAAUAGUAUGCUUAAAAUCUUAUUAAGGUACUCGACCAUCUUCUUUGUCUCCUUUACAGUACGUAUAAGUGAGCUCAAUCUCUUUGCAUUAUUGUUUCAUCCUACUUGUAGAACCACAUGAAAAAACCUACUUGACAUGAAGCAUGCACGUAAGAGAGAUUAGGCUACUAGUUUAACUGCAUGUACCAAAUAGAGGGAAGUUACAGAAUUGGUAUUUUAAACAUGAAUAUAAGAGAGAAUUAGGCUUAAUUACACGUAAAGCAUAUUGUAUAUGUAUCUGCAUGAAGUACCUGAGCAAGCGCAGAAGCUUCUUCUGCUUCCUUUAACCGCACGAGCAGUUCACCAGCUGCCUGCAUAGCUUCAGCAGUAUCCCUGAGCUGAGCCUGAAGGCCUUUAUUUUCAUCCCUCCAAUAUUUCCUAUCCUUUUCUCUCUCCUCUCGUAAAACGGAGAUUUCCGCAGCAAGGGAGUUGAUGAACUUAGACUCUGCUCCCUUAACCCCGGCUUUUACAGCCGCUCUCUUCACAUCUUCAAUUCCGUCACUAAUCCUUCUCUGCCUAGCUAGCAAAGUAAUAUGCUUCUCCUGGAGCUCUGCGUACUGUUCUAAAAUCCGCGCAUGUCCUUGCAUUGCUGUUUGCAAGGCCUCCUUUAGCUCUUCUGUGCAUUUCCUCUCCAAUUCAAGUUCGAGUUUCCAUCUUUCAGCAAGCGAAUGAUUCAUUUCUAGUUGGUGUUUAAGUUCUUCAGUAAGAGCAAUCCAUUUGGUUUCUGCUUCGGUCCAACAACUUCUCUCUUCUCUCAGCUUCUCAUCAGCACUUUCUUGGUUCGACUCUGAUUGUAUAUGGAGAGGAACUGGUGCUGCGUUACUUAUAUGUGCCAAGUCAUACAAAGGACUAUGCUUGCGAGUUGAAAAGGAAGAUGCCCGCAUGUAGUACUGUAAUUGGUUCCUCAGAUCUUGAAUCUCCUCCAUCAAUACAUCCCUCUCCCCCAUGUCGAAAAAGUUCCUGUACCUAUCUAACUCAUCUUGCGCCCCUUUUAGCUCGAUAUUGACCCGCAAUACUUCGGGGUGGUUUUCAUAUUUCUCUUUAAGAAGCUGUAUUUGCCAUUUAUGGAAAAAAACAAAAUAAAGAUAUUUAUUGAAAUAAUAAUGGAAAAGAUAGGCAAACCAAAUAGGACUUACCUUAUGUUCAUUUGUAAGAGAAAUGAACUCUUCAUCCAUGAAGUCUUCGGUUGGUAAAAUGCCAUCCAUGAGGCUCUCAAGACGUGAAAUCUUGUCCUCGCGUGUCUGUGCAAUUAUUGCAUUGCACUCGCGUUCAUGCUUAUAUUGCUGGACCUGCAAAUUCACAACCACGACAAGAAACCAAUAUCGUGGAAAGCAGGAAUAGUUUGUGAGAGGCCAAGCUACCACAAUGCCUAUAGAAUAAGCAAGUUGUGACGGUGGUAUACAAGAUAACACAAAAUGUUGUGAGUAUGAAGAAAAAUUGAGAGUAAGCGAUAAAUAAAAGGAAACACUUGCAAGAGCAAACAUGGAUAAGAAAACUUAAAAGAGCUUCUGACAAGCAAUUUACAAAUGUUGUAGGCAAUUAUGACUUUAUUGUAGAAGUCAAAUUUUGCCAAUAACUCAUUGUCACACACACACACACAUAAUAGUCAAGAUCAAAAGAAACCAGCAAAGCAUAUUGUAUUGUCAACUGUGAUAUUCAAGUGUUUGAGUAACUAAUCAUAGCCUUGCCAUUCUAAGCCUACUUAUAUCUGCUCAACAUGCAUAACGGUAUGAGGCUUGCUCACGUGCCCAUUACGCUGCCCCUAUGCCAUAUGCAGAUGUGGUUAGCAACUGCAUCAGGAUACACCAGCGCAUAUGUGAGUUUGUGCAUCAUUUUUCUAAAAAACUGGUGAAAUGUAACAACCUUUAAUGUCUGAAAUGUGGAAAAGAAAACCUACCAAACGGUUUAGCUGCGCGAUUUCAGCAGCUUGUUUUGCACAGUGGUCCUCCAAUGCCAUUUCUCUCCUAAUUGCACCUGCCAAAACUUUCUCGACAGCCUACAGAAUCAUGAGAAUGUUUGCUUUUUUAGUGCUUUAAUCUGUUAAACAAGCUUAUACAACAAAUAAAGCUAAAUAAAAAGAAGAAUAGAAAAGAAUUAAAACAUCAAGGAUUGGUUACUGAGACCUACUUUGGGUACUUGUUUCUUUACCCUCUCCGAAGGCACAGAUCCAUCAACAGGUGCUAAUUGCAAGUCAAUAUUAAGACCACUGCCAUUGCUUUUACCCGGACAAGCUUCUUUCUUAGAACUACAUUUAAGAACAGAUAAAUCUUCUGCUACAGAUUCUCGAGAAAUUGUUUGCACGCCAACAUCAGCCUUAUUUACUGGUGUAGCUGGCUUGAGAUCGACAGGGUUAACAGAAAACCUGAAUGACUUCUUCCUCAAAAUGGCAUUAUUUUGGUUAUUUUCGAUAAUUUGAAGACCAUGAUGUAUAGUGGCUUCCAACUGCUCUGUUGGGGCAAGUGAACUCCUACCUCUAAGGAUGGAAGAAACAUUUGAAGGAUCACUUCUUGAAGUUUCUGUAAAAUCAGACUUCAAAUUUUGCAGAAUAGUUUUCUGAGAUGCGGACAUUGAAGAUGAAGUCUUCGGACUUUUCCUGCUGCAAUCAGUUGAGUCUUUGUAAUCUUCUCGUUGUAGAGAUUUUCUCUUUCCAGGAAUGUUGUUAUCUGGAAGAACAGGAUUGUGCUCAUUGUUAUUCUCUACUUCAGAACUCCUUGCAUCUCCAAUAUCUGCUUUUUUUUCCGUAGAGCAGGCUUUCACCUCCAUUGAACUGUUCAAAUGAGUAGAUACUUCGACUUCAGCAGGAGAUAGUUGCAUACCAGCUUCUUUUGGGGGCUUCUCAACAUCAUUCUCAUCGAUUUCCAUUUCUUCAUCACUAUCAUCCUUAAUAGUGGAUAGUACAGUGGGACGGCAAAGACUCAUUCUCAAAAGAUUCAAACUCCGUGUCGCAUUCCAAUUGUUUGAAUAAUUUCCUGUGUUUCCAGGUGCAGCUACAUUAGACUUCAUUCUUACAAGCUCGUCCUGUCAACCAAACACAUCCACAACAUAUCUUAUUUCGGAUUUAUAUACACUUGCAUAAACUAUCUUUUAACAAACAUAUUUAUGUAAGUACUGAAUUUUCAAUAUAUCACUUCAAAAUCUUAAAUUCGUGCAAAAUUGCCUCUCUUCAAAAACUAAAUUUCCUGCAUUUACAACUCGUUAAAAAUUUUUUUCCAAUAGAUACAACUCUUUAAAAACUUUUUUCCAAUAGAAGCCAACUUUCCACCAUAAAGUGGAUGAUUCCCGAUAUUGAGGAUAUUUUUACAAAAACUGAAACUGCACCUCCAAGGGUAUGUAUGAAAAUUCAGAUUUUACACAGGCAUAUAUGGAGAUAGAUAUAUAUGUAAAAGAUCAUGCUGUACUUAAUGUAAUGAAACUUGAUCAAGAGUAAAAUGUGAACUUUAGUCCAUACCUUUAGUUGUCGGAUCUGUUCACGCAAGACAUUGACGUCAUCCUGGGUAAUUUCAUUUACAACUGCUUUGUUUUUUAUAGCCUUUGCACGCUGGGCAAAUCUGAGAGUACUGAGAGUUUCACUCUUGCAUCUACAUGUCAAUAAAAUCUCAUUUUCAGAGAUAUUUAAGGAAGAAAGAGACUGAUGGAAAAGCAUUUUAUUAAAGGCAAAUAAGUCAGCAACACUACCUUUGUGAUGGCGAAAUAGCACAUAUCAUUGCCAGCUUUGCAUUACCACCUAGAGAUUCCUGCAGUAAGAAUGUUAGCCUAGAAUCUCGGUAAGGGAUGUGCCUUUGUUUUCCGGACUGAGAAACUUCUGCUAAAAUAUUAAUCAAGUUCCUGCGAGGGCCAGAUACAAAGAUAUAGAAAAGAGUCGAAAAGCUCAAUUUAUAUGUACAAGAGCUGCAGUUUACUUCAAUGUCUUUGGAAAUGUAGUUAUUCUUCUUAGCUCCCAAUGGAUGCUAGUUUUAAUAUCAACUAAUAUUAGUAAUAUUUAGAGGAUUCAGUAUAGAAAUUCAUAGAGAUAAUUUAGACAUUUUAUGCACAUUAUAAUAUUGUCGAUAACAAUAGAGAACACUUCCUUUUUAUAUAAUUUUGCGUCUCAUAAAUUUUAGUUCAUACAGAUAAAAGAGUCUCUCCGAAAGGUUACGUAAUUCUGAUCUAGAUGAUAUAAAGAGUAAUAUCCAGAAAUAAAGCAGUAACAUUUAUACCCAAGUUGCGAAAGCGAACGAUUUAUAUUCCCUGCUUCCUUCAAACGCUCCCCAGCAGCAUUUGUGAGUUUCUGCCUCUCUGACCCAGCAAGAUCAACCAAAUUAAUUCUGCUAAUUCUUGAGCUGUUUACACCAUCUUCCACAUUCUACAAGAUAUCAAAUUACAAAAUUCAAAAAGAUGAGCUUUUCUUGAGAAUUAGUAUGCAAAUUUAAGCUAUAGAGUGUAGAUGGGUCCCAGCCAUAGGAUUACGAUGACUUGGGAUUGUAAGUUUAGCGGGCUUACGAGUGAUUAGCCCAGUUGUAGUGCCAAUGAGAUGUAUUUAUGGCACACCUAGUUGGGUUAUGUUGAAGAGUGCUAGUGAUCGGAAAAUUGAGCAAGGUUGCAUUUUGAGGGGAAAUUCACGUAAUGUAUAAAGUGGAGAAAUGUAUGUAAAAUGUGAAUGUUCCAAGUGUUGUAAUAGCUAGGUUUAAAUUCUCGCUCUUGUGAUAUGCCCUCAUGCAAUACUGUAUUAUAUUAUUUUUUUUGGAUAAAAUUCAAUGUACUUGUUUUGUUUACGCCUUGGGCGGAUAGGAAAAAUUCUAUCCAUUCGGCGGUCUGUGUACGUGCCCGAACCGACCAAAGUGGCGGUGCCGGGGCAUGACAUAUAAGAGUGGUGACAUAUGAUAAGAGAUGGCAAACAUCAAUGCAAUAAACAUGGCAAAAACUAACACUGUAAAGCUAAUCAAGCAAGACCUUUGCAAAUGUUUUUUCCACAUGAAUACUAAGUAGGGAAAGCAUAAUCUUAUUCUUGUAUAAGAACGAAACAAGAUGCAAAGCAAAUUACAAAAGGAUAGGUGGGUUCGAGCAGUAAGCCUAUCCCAAUUACAGCACUACCUAAAAUUUAUUCCAUUCCUUAAGGAAGGAACUUACCUUUGUGACAAUAACAUAUUUAAAUUUAACCAGAUUCCUAACCAGUGAUUGGCCAUAGGCUCUUCAAUAGAUCGAACUCAUACAGCAGAUAGACUGAAUAAGUGGGACAUAACAUAAUAGUGACAAAAAACACAUUAUGUUCUUCCCAACAGUACAACUACAAACAAAAGGUGUUCUAUUUCUCCAGUGGAGCACCACUAGCUUUGCCAAAACCAUACAUAAUGCCCUUGUUUAUUCAAUAAAAGAAAGUCUUUUCUUUGAGCAAACUAAAAGUAUUGGUGUUCGCACAGAAUCUAAAAAAAUGUAGUAGAUCACGAGUAAGACUCAGACAAUACCUUGGAUUGACAUUUAAUGACACAAGUGAAAACACAAUGUGAACGAGAACUCUCCGAAUUUACAGUGGUUGCACCCGUCCUUCUAUUUGCCAGUCCCUGCAACAGCACAAGAAAGUUUUAAAUGGAUGGGGCUAUGCUUUAGAUGCUAAAUAAUCAAAAAUGAGAUAAAAGUGAGUCAGUUCUUCGUGUAUAAAACUUUUGGGUGGAAGUAAAGAGGUUUUCUAGGCAAAUCAAUUUAGCUGCAAAUGAAAUACUGAAUUUAAUGUUUACAGUUAUAGCAACAAUCAAAGGAUUAUAAUGCGAAUCAGAAUAUUUUGAAAAUUCUUGGGAAAACCAGAUAAUCAACACUGAUCAGCAUGUCAAGAAAACAUAAACCAAUUCUGAGUUCAAAUACAAAGUAAGAGACGAUCAAUUGUGAAACAAAGCUUAAAAUCUUGAAAAGAGAAUAUUGAACAAGAACUCCGUUUGAAAUUGCUAGAUCAAGUUGCAACCCGAAAGGGAUAAGUUGAUAAAUGUACUAAGAAGUCAAAAGAAAAUCUUUCUAACGAAAGGAAAAUAAUGCAGAUAGAUAAUAAAAGAAUGAAUUGACCAUGCAAGAAAACUAAAACAAUCAUUCUAUAUCUACAUCACUGGGAGAUGUUGUGACAAAAGUCACCAAACAAUUCAUUUCAAUUAACAAUGAAAUUAGCAUCAUUAAUCAUGUGUACUAUAAAAGAAAAAGGCAUCACAAAUAGCUUUAGUGAAUUUUGGAAAGUGGUAAUAGUCUAUGCACCUUUAUUAGCAACAGAGUUACAUCCUUCAUCGUGAAGACAUACUCCUCUGUCAACGAGUCAACAUAAACACCAGUUCUAGCAUCUUCUCUGAUCUGGAAAAGGAUGAGCAACAUCAGCAAACUGAAAGAAAGCCAGCAACUAAAAAUGAAAUUGUAGAGCAAUUUUUAUUUUUUGACCUGAAGAUUCCUUUGCGCAGGAUCCAACAAAUCAGUGAUUUGUUCAUUGUAAAUCUGUAAAAAAAUAAGUAUACCACAUUAAUGACAAGCUAGUGCAACAAAUAAUAAAAAAUUUAAUGCACUCUAAAUAGUGUCAUUACAACUUGCCUCUAGAAAAGAGCAGCAGCACUGAUAAGUCAACUGCCUCUCAGAAUGCUUAUUUUGCUCCUGUGAAUGAAUUAUAAAUGCAUCAGACUAAACAAACAGAAUGCCUUUAAUGUUAUAAAAAAUAUGAAAGCUACGCACUUCCUCUAUACGAGUGAAUAAUCUUUCAAAGACACGAGGAGUUAAUCCUUUCUCAUUACUGCUUGAGCCAUCUUCCAACAAGGCACUUGGAGGUCCCCACAUCGUAUAUGUCUUCCCACUGCCGGUCUUUUGGAGGAAUAAUAUGGAGCCAGUUAAUUAUAAAUAAAAUACGGCAGAAGAAAUUUACAAUAAUGAAGUAACUGAAGCUGAGAAGACCUGUCCAUAUGCAAAAAUUGAACUAUUGAAUCCAGCCAAGCAGUUUUCCACCAAAGGGAGCCCAACAAGGUGGAAGAUGUCAUCCUGUGCAUGCAAUACAUACAUUAAACAAUAAAAGCGCCUCCCUUUCAAAAUUCAAAAGCCACAACAUGACAAAGAAGCAAAAACUAGCAAAGUGAAGUGUCAGAAUACUCCCCACACUUUUGGCUUACUAUGACAUGGUCCCCUGUACUUCCACACUCAAGCAGAAUAAUUCAUGAUCUUAAUUUGCGAAAUGGUAUUCCUGGGUUUGUUAUCCAUUCAAAAGUUCCUGAGAGAAUUAGGAGAUUUGACUGCAAAAUUACUAUUAUCAUGUUCAAUGACCUUUUCAUUCACCUUCGCUCUUAACUAAGCCUUGUAGUAAAAUGUUUUUAAAGUGCUCACAAUGAAUGCAGUCACAUGGAGAGCAUGCUUCGAAACAAAUCUCAUUGCAGAAGGUAUGUAAAAUCAUAGACUAAUCUGUUUUACACUAAAUUUAACCCUAAAUUCUGGAAGUUUAAGAACUAUCCCUAAAUUUCACCCUAAACUUAGAUUUGAGCCUCAAAAGAACAUUUUUACCUGUGAGGAUGUGAUAUCGGCGACCGAAUCAAAGGUAAACAUGUGGUCAAGAAUCAAAACAGAAUUAUCAGAGACCUUCUGCACAAUAACGUCUCCUUCUUCCUCCUCAUUGUUCGGAGGCCGAAUCCUUACAACAACCUGAAGAACACAACAAAAGAUCUCAAAAAACAAAGCAAAAAUGGAUCUUCAAACAUACAUUGUCCUCUAAUCUUGAAUCGCUUAACCCUAGAAACAAGACCUCACCUGAACACCGGAAUUCAAAGCGGAGGAGGCGGCGGAUACGUUCUCCGCUAGGGUUUCGGAGCUAACUAGCUUCCGUUUGACGGGGUUGCCGACGCCGCCGCCGCCGCCGCAGCCGAGCGGGGGCCUCGGCGGGAGCGGGCUCCGGGCCCUGGCGCCGGCGAGGGAUUUCCCGGAGGCGGCGGCCGACGGGGACCGGAAUGGCGAGGAAUCCGGCGGGUUAGAGUUAGGAUUAAGGUUGGGGUCGACGUUCUCCUUUGGGAUCCGGGGUGGGCGAUGCUUGUGAGAGGAGGAGGAGGAGGAAGGGGUUAGGGUUUCGGGGGGAGGAGGAGCUCUCCCGCUCCUAAGGUUGUGGAAAAUGCUCUUCAUGGAGAGAGAGAGAGAGAGAGAGAGAGAGAGAGACGUUGGAGACGAGGAGAGGGAGAAGAGCGAUUUGAAAUGGGGGAAGGGUAGAAUAGUAAUUUCGAUUAUGUUGGCAUUUAACUAUUAAAAAAUAUUUUUGGAUUUUGUUUGUUUUUUUUUUUGAACAUUUUAAUUCUGAGUGUAAAAAUUUUAAUUUAAAAAAUUAUUAAAAUUUUAAUUAGAUUUAUUCUAUUUUACAUCAACAAUGAUAAUUAGUAAAAAUUUAAUACUUUAUAAGAGCCCAAGGCCAAAAAAAUAAUAUAUGUGAAAGUUUAAACAAAAAAAUAUUUAAAUUAAUGGCAUGUUUACUUUGAAAGAUUUAAUGCUUGAAACCAAAACCGAAUGAUUUAGUUCUAAAAGGAAUUUUAAAAAAAAAACUUAUUUCCUUUAUUAAUAAUUAAUAAUUAAUAAUUAUUUAAAUUCAAAUAAAUAAAUAUAUAUAUAUAUAUAUAUAUAUAUAUAUAUAUAUAAUUUUAGAAUAAAUUAUUAAUUUUAAUUUUAAAUUUAAAUUAUUUUUAAUUUUAAAUUCUAGUAUAAGUUUGAAAUUUGAAUUUUAGCUCUAAAUUUAAACUUUGACUUUGAACUUGAAUUUGAAUUAUAAAUUUUAAUUUUAAUUUUAAUUUUAAUUUUUGAGUUUAAAUUUUUAAUUUAAAUUUUGAUUAUGAAUUUAGAUAGUAAAAUUAAAUUUUAAUUAUUUGAAAUUUAAUUGAAUAUGAUGUCAAUUUCGACUAAUCUUAUAAACCAAACAAAUUAGGAUUUUCAUCAUUUUAUUUUCGGUUCCAAUCCAUACUCAUUCCUGUAUCGAUUUCAAUUCUUCUUUUGAAUUAAACGUGAUCUAAAUGUAUACGCAUUGAAUUAUCAUAUGAAAAUAGCGCGAGAGAUCAUAUAUAUAUAUAUACACAUUACGCCCGAAAAAAAUAUUAAUUGUACAUCUCCUGGGUCAUUAAUUUAUUAAUUAUUUUGGUUAAAAUACAGAAAACUCUUAUAUAAAUAUCUGAUUUUUUUAUUUUUUUCUUUCCAACUCUCAAAAACCUAUAAUUUAUCACUUAAAAUUUAAAAAUAUUUUUAGAGGAAUAUGAUGUUAAUGGAGAGGACGAAAUGAUCAAAUUAUCUUUAAUUAUUCUAUAAAUAAUAAUAAUAAUGAUAAUAAUAAAUUUUUAAUAUAUUUUUAUUAUUUUUAAGAAUUUUUUGAUAUGACUUAUAAGAAAUAGACGGAAUAGUGAUAAAAUUCUCAAAGAAGGGUUAAAUGCAUCAACUUAAAAUUUUGAAAAGAUAAAGGCGUAGUUUGGUAUUGAUGUCGAUCUAACGCUAUUAGAUAGAAUGGAGUUAAGAAAAAGCGUAUAAAGAUAGCUUCUGCGAUAUCCGAUGGAACCGCAGAAAAUAUAUCGUAAUCGACUAACCGCAAUGAACGCAAUAUUACGUACGGAAAUAAAUAGAAUAUUUUUCCAUUGUCGCACUCUUCCGCAAUUCCAAACGAAGCAAAAUGUAAUUUUCAGAAGUCAGAGACGAAAAGUGAAAAAAACAGUGACACUUACCAAAAAAAAAAAAAAAAAUCUAUAUUUCAGAUUUUCUAAUACUACAAAUUUUAAAAAAAAACUUAAAUUCUAAAAUAGAAUGUGCAAAAUUUGCACAAUUUUUUAGAUUGUAUCGGUAGCCGUGCUCUUUACCCAAUACCAAGAUUUUAGAAAACAAAACUUUUUUUUUUUGGGGGCCUCUAGAGGUUGUUGGUUUAAGAGGGUGUUUGGCCUAUCUUUUAAAAAGCACUUUUGGAUUGAAAAGUAAUUUUCUGUUCAAUAGAGCGUUUGGCAAUCUCACUUUUAAAAUCUGAUUCUGCUUUUUAGAAUCAGAAAACCGAUUUUGAAGUCCCCAAAAUCAGAAGCAGAAAAAAGUUGCUUCUUGAAAUCUGAUUAUAAUUUUGGACUCAAACUGCAAAUUUUUAUUUUAAUUUUAAAUUCAAUAUUUAAAUUUAAAUUUAAUUUUAAAUUUUAAUUUUCAGAUUCAUUUUUGAAUUUUUGAAUUUUAAUUUUUAAAUUUUUAAAUUUGAAAAAUAGAUUUCAAACUUUAAAUUUUAAAUUUUAAUUUUUAAAUUUCAAAUAUCAAAUUUUAGAUUUUAAAAUUUCAAUUUUCAAAUUUAAAUUUUAAAAUUUAAGAUAAAUUUAAAAUUUGACAUUUUAGAUUAUAAAAUUUAAAUUUAAAAAUUUAAAAAUUUAAAAUUUAAAAUUAUAAUUUUUAAUCUUCAAAUUAUAAAUUUUAAAAUUUUAAAUUUUUAAAUAUUCAAAGUUUAAAUUUUAAAUUUUAAAUUUCAUAAUUAUUUUAAAAUUUAAAUUUUAAAAUUUAAAUUUUAAAUUUUAAAAUUUAAAUUUUAAAUUUUAAAUUUUAAAUUUUAAAUUUUAAAAUUUAAAUUUUAAAUUUUAAUUUUAAAAAUGCUUUUAAAUAUUAAUAUUUUAUAUUUUAAAUUUCAUAAUUAUUUAUAUUUUUAAAUUUUAAUUUUAAAUUUUAAUUUUUAAAUUUCAAAUUUACUUUUAAAUUUUAAAUUUUAAAUUUUAAUUUUAAUUUAUAUUUUUAAAUAUUUAAAUUUUAAAUUUUAAAUUUCAUAAUUAUUUUAAAUUUAAAAUUUUUAAAAUUUUAAAUUAUUUUUUAAAUUAAAAUAUAAAAUUUUUAAAUUUUGUAUUAUUUUGAAAUUUAAAAAUUUUAAUUUUAAUUCAAAUUUAAAUUUAGAUUUUAAAUUAUUUUAAAAUGAAAUUUAAUAAAAAUAUUAAUUUAUGCAAACUUCAAAAAAAAUUUGCCAAACAGUUUUUCCAAAUCACUUUAGAAAAAUCGAUUUUAUCUAAAUUCAGCCAAACAUUCUACAGCUUUUAACCAAAAUCACUUUUUUAGAAAAUACUUUUUCAGAAGCUAGGCCAAACGGGCCCUAAGUCCCUACAUUGAAAACGGUGACACACGAGCGCGCACGCACGCGCGCGCCCGCACAAUUCUGAAACGAAAAUUUUGUUCAUUAUUAAAAUAUCUAUCUCAAAUUAUUUGCCUAAAUUUUAUCUGCAUACUCAGACAAAAUAAGAUUAUUUACGGAGAACAAAUACUAAGACCUAGGGUGAUAAUGAGGUGAGUGAAAAUAUCUAUUUUGUAAUUUAAAAGGUCUAAAAAUUUUAAAGAACUUUUUAAUUUUUUCUCAUCUAAUAAUAUAAACUUACAAUUGCAGCCACUAAGGGUGGCAAUCCAGCUCAGUGUUCGCGAGCCAGCACGUGCUCGGCUUGAACAGAACUCGAACCGGACACUACCUAAAAUUUUCAAUUCACGAGUUAGAGUUAGUUUGCUCGUGUUCAGCUCGAUAAUAGUUCAAAUACAUAUAUUUUAUAUAUAAAUAUAAAUAAAUAAUUAUAUAUAUAAUACAUAUUUUUAUUUUUUGAUUUUGAAUUCAACCUAAAUAUAAAGCCCAACUCAAUUAUAAAAAGACUAAUAUAUAUAUAAUUUGUACCAUUAGAUCAAAAUCUAAUAAAUAAAAAAUUAUAAAUUUAUUUUCUAUAUAUAUAUAAUAUUUAUAAUAUUUUUAACAUGUUAUUCGUAAGUCAGUUCGGCUCAUUAAUUAACAAGCCGAACACCCGCUAGAUGCUUUACCAAGCCAGCUCGUGCUAUAUUUCACCUUUCACUGUCCCUAAUACAAGUGGCACAGAACUUGACGCAAGUGGCACAGAACUUGACGAUUGGUACCCGAAAUCCUAAAUUCGAAUCCUAAUUGAUUAACAUUUUCAGCUAAGUUUAUUUAUAAAAAAAUAAACAUAGUGAAUAGCUUGCUAUCUUUCUCUCUCUAAAAAAAAAAAAAAAAAACCAAACCAGUUCUUGCUCGACUGGUUUUAUCAGCUACCCAACAAACAUGUGCCUAUUACAUAAAAUAAGAAAAUAUUUUUAAAUAUUUUUAAAUUUCUAAGCCUUCCAAAAUGGAAAAUAAAAUAAAAUACUUCUUAAUCACUACUACAUUAUCAAACUAGGCCUAGGGAGGCCAUAAAAAUCACAUAUGGCUGAAUUAAAUUUUAGUACCUCAUCUCUAGACAUCUGACUUUCAUCAAAACAAACAACGAAAGAAAAAGCUUAAUUCUGAGCAAUUUAAACUUCAUUGCAUUUAAAUUCCACCAGCAUCUAAGAUUCAUCAAUCCAAAGAAGAUGACAACAACCUAAAGGGCCCAAAAAAAACAGUAAUGAAAAGCACAUUAACAAGGAUAGGAAGAAGCACAUUAACCAAGGAUAGAAAAAAGCUUUUGAUCUUAAGAAGCAUUACCUUCCCUUUAAUGUGCAUCCAAAAGGAACUCAAAACAACUUCAACAACUUCAUCUCCAAAAUUGACAUUAGCUCGGGAUAGGAAAAACUUUCAUUCUUAGAAGCAUUAUAUUCUCUGCAAUUAUCAGCCCUAGAUGCAACAACUUGUGAUCUUAGAAGCACUAUUUUCCCUUCAAUGCGCACCACGGAAAGCAUUAGACAACUUAAAACAGCCUCGGGUUCGCGACGGAGUUGUUCACUGAUGGUUCAAAUUGCAAGUCCUAAACAUUAAGUUUCAUUAGGGCAGUUUUUAAGAACAUCAUUAAACUAUCUCCAAACUAUUCUCUCCAACCUACCCUGGGAAUAUCUAAACAAAUUCAGAAUUAUACAAUUAUCUCUGGUUCUGCAGCACAUUAAGCAAUAAGCUUUAUACCAUCUACUUCAAUAUGCAAAACCAUAAAAUUAACCGAAACUAGUGGUUGGCGUCCGCAAGUUGAGAAUAGGAGAAUCCGGGUUGUGAAGGAGCUGCUGCAGCAGGAGCAGCAGUGGAAGCGCCAAAGGCAUCGUAGCUCGCUGAAGAAGGGGCCGUGGGGGCGCCUCCUGAAGCCGGCGGGGUCAGUGUCGGCGGCCGUGGGAGACUCAGCAUCUGCAUUGGCAUAGAAGUGGCGCCUGGCGGCACCAUUGGGGGUGGAACAGUUGGAGCGCCUGGAGCCACAGCAUAACCUGUUGAUAAUAAAUGUAAGAUUAUUUAGCUAGAGUGCUAAUACAGAGGGUUUACAUGAACUUGCCCCAUGAUGUUCGUAAGUAUAAAUAAACAAUUGAAAUAAGGGUCAAACAACAUAAUCACAAACAUAGAGAAUGAACUCCUACCUAUUUUUCAAGGCCAGGAGUCAAAAUUUUCGCAAUUCAUCCCAUAAAUGUAAGACAUAAAUUUCAGAGAAGUUGUGUUCUGCUAAUGUUUCAGCUAAGUUUUCCCAACUGUUAGUCAUAAUUCAUAAGCACUAUAUCAAAAAAAAGGGGAAAAGAAAAGAAAAAAGCACUUCGUUGUUGUACGAGUAAAUCUACUCAUGGUCUUCAAGCUAAUUUUAUUCCUUUUCCCGCAAGUAAUUAGGGCUCGAUAUAAGACUCUAUACUCAACAUUCUCAAUCCAGUUUCUUCUCAUACAUAGGUUAGUGAAAGGAAUUUGUUUUCACUGUGCUGUGUUAAAUAGGAUGGCUUUUGAUCAAGUCAUCAGUUGAGACUGGGUUACUGAAAAUUAAUAGGUAAAAAUGUAUGGAGACCCCCUCAAUUAUAGGCCAUUCUGAAAUAAUCCCUUCGACUUCCAUUUUUUUUUUUUCUUUUUGUUGACUCACCUUAUCUUCUUCUUCUUUUUUUAUUUAAGUUCUUAUAGUUAUUAAGCCAUAUUUCGUGGCUCAGUUAGUUAUUAGCAAUUAAUUUGCCCAAUUUUAUUUGCUAUAAAACAGUUUAAACUAUUAAAUUUGAUGGAUAUAUUAAUUAAAUUGGUGAAAUUUCUACUUGUCUAAAAUCACUUAAUUCCAAGAAUUCAAAAGUUAAGGGGAUCUCAAUUAAAAAAAAUUAUAGUUCAGGGGGUUAUUUGUGAACGGCCUAUAGUUGAGGGGGUCUCGAUACAUUUUUACCAAAUUAAUUUUCGUAGGCUAUGUGCAUUCUAUCUCAUCUACUACAUUUCUUAUACUUAUUUCUCUCUUUCUUCUCGUUCUUCCAUUUUCGUUAUGUCGUAACUCCAGGCUACAUUAAUUUGCCACUUGAAAAUGUUUUUCCUGUGAACACAACCCCCCCUCCCCCCACCCCCAAAAAAUAGUAAAAAAUAAAAAACAAAAAAUAAAAUACAGCACAAGCUAGUUCUUCUUGUCUUUUGGAUAGUUAUCAGAUGCAAAUCAAACACAUUUCUUCUGAGAUAUUUCGUUCUUCUUAAUCAUCUUAAUGCACAAUAAAAUUAUGAAUGUGUUUUACGACUAAAACGAAAGACAACUUAUGCAGAAGGGAACUUCCAAGCGUUGAAUUCAGUAUUCAGCAUUCAAUUAAUAAAUCAUGAAAUAUGACCUAAAUUACGCAAGAAAAAUAAAGCAGGAAAGUGUUCAAUCUUCAUUAACAUUGCAACAUUGCUGCAUAAACAAUAGAUAAUCGAAAUAAAAAUUCCACAGAAUUAAGCACCAGAAAACAAAGUAGAGGAAAUGAAAUGGUUUUAUUUUACCCGGAGCACCAACAACUGGGGUCGGCAAAACAGGGGGUCUGACUCCUGGAAUUGGCGGAGUUGCUCCAAUCGGCAGAACUGGUGGUGGUAGAACCGGAAGACGAGGCCUCGGCAUACCUCCAGGCAUGGAAAGAAGAUGUUGGUUGAAAGCAGCACCCACCUGUUGCUGGAAAGCAGCAGCCUGUCCCAAAUGCUCUUUGAUUCUUUGAUCAAUUAAGCUUUGAGUCUGCUGCUCUUCAAAUUGCUGAUAAUAGGAUCGUACAUUUGCCUGACAUAACAAUAUAUAAACUGAGCAAACAUUAGAUAGCAGAAGAAAAGGUGAAACAUAGAAGAUAUCAUUGCCUGCAGACGGCAAGCCAUGUCAAGCAUGCAGCAUAAUGAUCUGCCAUUGUCUGUUCUCUUACUCCAGUCACCACUAUCCAAGUUAGUUGCGGCCUUCUCUUUGAUUUUAAAGAUAUUUUUUGGCGGAUGGUUUGGAUUGGAAAUCUAAGAGGGGCCGGGGGCAUGGCGUUGCAGUGGGUGAUGUGGCACACCUGCUGUAGGCAAUAGAUUCUCGAAUGGUAACCUUGAGUAUAAUAAGAGAAAUUUUCAUACCUUGUGCUUGUAUCCAGCAUUAUGUUGCUUUCUAACAGAUGGCUGCAUCAAUUAAAUCAACAGUAAGCAAUAUUUAUAUGUUAAACCAAAAUACCAAAAAGCAGGACAAAAAAAAAAAGAAGAAAAAAACCAGAAUAUGGUUGAUAUGAAGCCUCACAUAUCAACAGAUAGAACUAAAAGGAAAGCUAAUACCAGGGCGAAUGGUGUAGUAUAAUUAGAAAUUGAGGAAAAUAGAUACUGAUUAAUAAAAAUGAUUAGUGGCAUCUGAUGGUGAAACUAUGCAAUUGGACCUCAUCUUCAUGAACAUGAAAUAAUAUUGCUAAAGGAAACAUCGAUUUCAGUUCACUUUAGGAAAAUAACAAUAAUCAAAAUAUUUUUUUUUAAAAAGGACUGCCAAUAUAAAAGCAAACUUGCUUAUGAAACCCAGCAGUCAGAGUAAGAUACGGCAUAAGUAUAUACUAAUUUACCUUUCAACCUUAAAAGACCUAAAGAUAUAAGGAAAAAAGAAGAAAGCGGUUACACCAAUACCCACAACUCCAUACCAAUUAGACCCCAUAAGGCAAUCUAAAUCUUACUUUAACACACAAAUUCAAUUCCUGGUUUCAACCAAUCAUUAAUGGUUCUUGAAGAAAGACAAUACAGGAAAAUGUAACUAUCGCCAUCCCGAAGAAAUCUUGUUUGGUUGGGAGGAUAGAGUGGGCAGAUUGGUAAGUUUCUCCAUUAGUGCCGUUGAAUUGUUAGAAUGUACAAAUGAUGCAACCCUAUUUACAGUUGGGAGAAGUAAAUAUCCCCACUGGCUGCUUCAUUCCCAUGGAUAGAGAUGCUGUGGGAUCGGGGGAAUAUAUGAAACUUCAUGCAUAAUCAACUUAUCUUGGUAAUCCCAUCACUAUUCCCCACCAAACAAAUGGAGAAAGUAAGUUCCCAUGGAAGAUUUUCAACCCUAUCCCUAAGAAAUGCUCAAAGCAAAUACUGUCCAUGUAAAUCCUAAAAAUACAAAACCUCACAGGGAUGUAUAAACCCUUCCAACUAAUGGAUUUCUCUUUGUUCAAGUCAUAUGAGUCUCUUAGAGCAUAGCAUCUAUCAAAUUUGCAAAUGAUGUGUAGAUAUCGAUCUAAAACUUAACCUUAAACUCCCCAAAAGCACGUACUGGGUUCCUAAAUGUCAAUUGUUUAUAAAAGAAUAGUUGCAAGAGAAAAUGAAUAGCCACUCACCUCAAAUGCCAAAGAACACCAUGUAAUAAAAAAAAUUCUAACCCAGUUUAGAUAGUCCAAUUCCAAACUUUGAAAACAAGGUUCACCAAAAACAAAGCAAAAAAAAGUUCCACUGUGCAUCCUUACAUCAUAACUUCAUACACAUUAAGCACUCACAAAAGGACAAUUCUGCUUGCUGAAGAACUACUUCCAUCGUGCGAAUAUUCUCUCUCGAAUAGCUGCAUCUAAAAUCUAUAAACAGUGUCCAUAGUCAAUCAUUACAAAAUAAAUGACAAUGAUUGUACAAACAGUGUGACAUAUUGAAGGUGAUAAUCAAGUAACAAGUAGCAUCGAGGACCAAGCCAUCAAGAACCGAAUUGCAUAUUUGGCCCGGCUUCUGGAAAAAGUUCCUUAUUCCAAAUGCUCUAAAGUAGGAGCUUCUACAAAUCAGACAUUUUGGCAACGAAAAACUGGAGCUUUUGCGAACGAAGCUAAAAUACACUUUUAGGUCUUAAAAGUAGAAGCUCCAAUGUAAAACUUCUACUGUAAUGUGAAGUUAUUGAAGAGAUAUUUUAAAGCAAUAGUUUUGAGUGCUUCUUCGAAUAGCUCUAGUGAGACGACACUUUUGUAGGAGUUUGGGCCUGGCCAAACAGGUUUCUAAUUCUAAGUAGAAACAACUUUAACCUGAACAGAUUAUAAGUUUCCAGACCUGGCAGCUCUGCAGUAACAACAAACACAUAGCACUAACAACCAACAUAGAACAAUAGAAGCAGCACCUCGGCAUUAAUAAUAAAGCUAAAUAAUCCUCCACAACAUCAACGUAUUUACUCUCAAUACAAUCUACUCCUAUAUAUUUUCAUCAAAAGUGUACAAACAGAUCAAUUCGCUCGACCCUAUUGACAUUUACGGCCUCUUUAGCCCCACUUCUAUUUCUAGUUUCAGCGACAGUCAUAUGCAAUACUGCGUUUAACAACUAGAAAAGCCUGAAGCUUUGUGGUAGCAGGAAACACACACACAAAAAAUGAUUUUGAGAUCCGAAAGCACACAAGCUCUAAUCUGAAGCUUCGAAUUCUACUGCAGAGAGAAGCAACAAUAGGGGGCGUAAAAUUAAUUGUCCUAAUCGCACUGCAUCACCAAAAAGACAUCCACGCACCUAACUAUACCCUUCCUCACCACUUACAACAACUUCAAAUUCACAAAAUCGAAACAUGCCCACAAUGAUUCUUUGUUAUACAAACAGAAGACACAAAACCCUACAAAUUCCACAAUCCACAAACAACACACAAAAAAAUAACAAAAGGAUCAAGGGGAAAAUGCUUACAGAAUCGUGGGUGAGGUACGUGUCGCAGUAAUCGCAGUAAUACCUGAAACCAAAAAGAAGAAGAUGAAGAAGAUUAUAGAUGGAUUAAGGGUUGGAAAAAUGUAUAAAAAUAUGAAUAAUUCGAGAAGAGAUUAGAUGUGAGAGACGAGAGAGAGAGAGAUUAGGGUUUACCGAGGCAUAGCGAGGAAGGGGAAAGAGAUCGCGAAGCUUCGGGAACGAAGCGAGAGAGAGAGAGAGAGAGAGAGAGGAGGUGCGAUGGAGAAGAAGGGUAGAAUGGAAGUUAAAAUAUAUGGAAACCCCCUCAAGUAUAGCAUAUUUUGAAAUAGGUCCCUCGUUUUCGACUUUUUCAAUAUAACCUUUUAAAAAUUUAUAAUUUUUGAAACAAUCCUAUUAAGAUUUUAUUUGACCCAAUCUAUAUCUAUAUUCUAAAGGGGGUGGAGUGUGUUCUUUAUUUGUGGACACAUGUCUGUUUUGAAUAUUUGGUGCACCCGGUGUACCAUGGAUUAAGUGAAAGAAAUAUAGAUAUUGGGUUUGUUGGGUGCUCCUACUGUGGACCAUGGACCUACUAUAAACCAUGGGUGAAUUUGGAUUUGUAGUGAUACCUGUCCAUUUUGAAUAUUUGGUGCACCCGGUGUACUAUGGAUUAAGUGAAAGAAAUAUAGAUAUUGGGUUUGUUGGGUGCUCCUACUGUAGACCAUGGACCUACUAUAGACCAUGGGUGAAUUGGAUUUGCAGUCUCUUAAACUUCAACACAUGUUGUUUCAAACUUUUAACAGCCGUAUUUUUUUUCUACACUUUCAAAUUCGCUUUUGGCACUAGCAAGUUUUGUUCCUUGACACCUAAAAAUUAUUUGCCUACAUGCCAUGGUUAGAAUUUUUUUUAUCUUUUUUGGUAAAUCGAAAAAAAAAAAAAAGGAAAAACUUCAAAAACCCUCCCUGUGGUUUCACACUUUUUCAUUUUAGUACCAUGUGGUUUAAAGUUUAUCAAGUUAGUACCCUGUGGUUUCUCACUUUAUCACUUUAGUACCCUGUGGUUUAAAAUGUAUCAAGUUAGUACCCUGUGGUUUUGCACUUUAUCACUUUAGUACCCUGUGGUUUCACACUUUAUCACUUUAGUACCCUGUUUUAAAAAACCACAGGGUACUAACUUGAUACAAAUUAAAACCACAGGGUACUAAAGUGAUAAAGUACAAAACCACAGGGUACUAACUUGAUACACUUUAAACCACAGGGUACUAAAGUGAUAAAGUGAGAAACCACAGGGUACUAACUUGAUACAUUUUAAACCACAGGGUACUAAAGUGAAAAAAAUUGAAACCACAAGGGGGUUUUUUGAAGUUUUUCCAAAAAAAAAAGAUUUACAAUUUUUAGGGAUAACUUCAAAAACCCCCCAUGUGGUUUCCAACUUUCUCACUUUAGUACCAUGUGGUUUAAAAUGUAUCAAUUUGCCCCCAUGUGGUUUCGUUUUUCUCUUUUUUUUAUUAAUUUUAUUUUUUUUUUUUUUCUCAAAUCAGUAACAAAAUUAAAAUUAAAGAAUACUAAAGUAAAUAUUCGGUAAAUCUAGAUGGAUAUCUGAUGUUUUUUUGCAUAUAAUUUAACGAAAUAUUAAGAAAAAAACUAUAGAAAAAAUAAAAAUAAAACCACGGGGGGCCAAAUUGAUACAUUUUAAACCACAGGAUACUAAAGUGAGAAAGUUGGAAACCGCGGGGGAUUUUUGAAGUUUUUCCUAAUUUUUAUUCACCUAUAUAUAUAUACAGUAACUUUUCAAUUUUUUACAGCUUUUUCUUCUUCCAAUCCUCCAUCAGGUAUGUUAUUGCUUGAAAUUCUAUUAUUUUUUAAUGUGCAUUUAGUUGGCUUAUUUCCUUUAAUUGAUGAUAUUUUGUAAAUUGAAUGGUUGUAAAAUAGUAAAAUAGUUAAAAAAAAAAAACAUAAAUUAUUUAUUAACAAGUUAUUCUUGAAUUUUUUUCAAAAUAUUUAACUAAUUACUUUGAUACUUUUUUUUUUAUUCCUUAUAGUACACUGUAUGUACCAAGCAUUUAUGUAAUUUUAGUUACAUUUUCUGCUUUUGUCAUUUAAUAUACACUCACGUAAUUUGUUUGUAUAAAGUAGAUUAUGUGCUCUUUUUUCAUAAAAAAAAAAUUGCUAAUUGCUGAUAAGUUUUUAUAUAAUGUUUUUCUAUAAAAAAUGAAUAGGUGUUUGCUGAUAAACUUGGAUAGUUCUUACAUACUUUAAUUAGAUGUUGUUUUUUUAAAAUUUUUUAUUACCAUAGUUUCUGUAAUAAAGUUUAAUUUAUUAAGAUAAGAGAGCUACUUUAAUAAUAUAAACCUACAAGAAGCCUAGCUAAUCCUUGGGUGGGACUUACUAAUUAAAAAAAAAAAUCAACAUUUAAGUACUUUUUUGUGAAGCAUGUCGGUUAUAAUUUUCUUCAAGUAUAUGUUACAGCAAAUCACUAACCAGUUAUGAGAUUUGCAUACGUUUUUUAAUAAAAAAUGAAUAGGUAUUUACCAAUAAGUUUUGAUGAUUUUUACAUGCUUUAAUUAUAUAUUUUGCUUUUUUUAAUUUUUAUAUUAUCUUAUAAUAAAGUUUGAUUAAUUAAGAUAAGAGCUGACUAUGCCCUAUACAAAAUUUUUCAUGCUACUUUAUAAUAUAAAUCUACAACAUGCCUAGCUAAUUCUUAGGUAGGGCUUGCUAAUUAAAAAAACUAAUAUUUAAGAAAAUUUCUUUCGAUCAUUCCCAUUUGGUUAGCAGCCGUUGGGGAAUGAAGUUUUCGGAAGGAAAGUCAGGCCGUUUUUAGAGCUUAUUCCGCCGUUGGUGGACAGCUUUUUCUUUUGAGGGAAAAAACGGUAUAACAGAAGGAGGCGGGACUAAAUUUGUUAAUAUUGGAGCAUAGUAAUAUAUCCUACAUUUUAUAAAUAUAAUUAAAAACAUACUUAUUGCACCGCAGCGAAGCGCGAGUAUAUCGCUAGUAAAUUCUAUUUUGCCCGGCUCAACAACAAGGGAGUUAGGGAGAAGAACAAUUGGAAGAUGGUGAAUUAUUUACCGUUUUUAAUAAAAUUUAUAGUUCUCCAAAAAUAAUACUACUCAUACAUUCAAAAGUAGGUAUAUAUCUUAUACAUCAUAUCUAUUCAAUGGAUAGGAGUCACUGACUAGUCAGUGUUAGAUUGGUGGGGUGUAUGAUGUGCAUCUUGAUUGGAAUGUGUAAGUAGUAUUUAGAAAGAGAGAGAGAGAGAGAGGAAAAGGAAGAAGGAAACUAGAGUUGUGGUAGACGGUGAGAAUAAAACGCACUAUUUAGCUUGGUUAAUCUCAGCUAUUCUUAUUUCGGGUGUGAGAUAUACCCCAAAAAAAAUGAUGUAUUAUUAGAUUUUUUUUUUUUUUUCUAUUUUCAUAUAAAGACAGUCACUUCAAAAUUAAAUUUUAAUUUUUUAGAUAUAAAUUUUAUAAAAAGAGUAAUUUUGAGUACAAAUGUUUCACAAAUCAAACAAUGACCUUCUCCUUUUGUUAAAUUUUUGGGACUAUUUCACGCCUAAUAAGUAGGUUUUAUUUUAAAUCAUUUGUUCGGUGCAUGAAUUGUGUCCAGACGCCGGGUGCAGGGAAUGACGUGUGAACUUAUAUCAUACGCUCUCUCUCCGCCGUUGGAUUCAACGAUCGCCUCCCAUCACAUGCUUCACCUAUAAAUACCCCCAACCCUAAUUAGGGUUUUCGAGAGCAACACUCAAAAGAGACGACGACGACGAAGACGACGACGAACCUCUUCCCCCACAAUGGGUACGUAGACCAUUCCGAAACCCUAGAUCCCCUUUCUCUCUCUCUCCUUGAUCUCUUUUCCGCUUUUCAUGACCAUGGCGAUCCCGUCUUACUCGCAGGUAUCUCUCGCGACUCCAUGCACAAGCGCCGCGCCACGGGGGGGAAGAAGAAGGCGUGGAGGAAGAAGAGGAAGUAAGGCUCUCGAUCUCGCGCACUAGUAUACUCGACAUGUGGUGUUUCUCUUCGCAUUUUUGCGUUGAUUCCUCGUCCUUUUUUUGCUUUUUUUUUUUUUUUUUUGAUUUGUGGAUUGGCUUGUUAGGGUUUUUGUGUUGGUUGAUGAGAUUUUUAGUCGUUUCUGAUGAAAAUUUUUGUGUAUAAAUCCAUAGAGACUCCUGAACUAUAUCCCAUUAUGUACUAUGAUGACGCUUUUUCUUUUUCUUUAACUGAUACCCGUUCUAGUUUUUGUUUUUCAAUGAUUUAGUUAACUAAACUGAGGAUUUUGUCAGAUUCGACAGUAAAUUUGCUAAAUUUGAUAGGUUGAAGUACUUUUAGCAACUAAAACUGUAGCAAUCAAUGGCUAAUAGUUGAUCGAUCCACUGAAUUUAUCAAAAUUCUCAGAUUCUUUAACUAUGAGAAUGACAAAUCCAGUAAAAUUAGAAGUUGAAGGGUGUCAAUUGGGAGAAGUAAAGUUGAGGGGCCUAGUUCAAAAUGACCCUUUGUUGAGGGUUUUGGUACAUGUCUACAAAAUUCUCAUGUAGAGUUGCUUUUUCUGCUUCCAAUGUGCCUUGUAAGGUAUGAGCUGGGUCGGCAGCCGGCGAACACUAAGCUAUCGAGCAAUAAGACGGUGAGGAGGGUUAGGGUUCGAGGGGGCAACGUAAAGUGGAGGGCUCUUAGAUUGGAUACGGGUAAUUACUCGUGGGGAAGCGAGGCUGUGACCCGCAAGACCCGUAUACUUGACGUGGUAUACAACGCGUCCAACAAUGAGCUCGUGAGGACGCAGACCCUAGUGAAGAGCGCUAUCGUGCAGGUCGAUGCGGCGCCCUUCAAGCAGUGGUAUCUUCAGCACUAUGGUGUGGAGAUUGGCAGGAAGAAGAAAGCUCCUGCUGCUGGAAAGAAGGACGCAACUGAGGUGAGUUUCUUAUUUUGUUUUUUGAUUAUCAUUGUAGCUGAGAGUUGGUUUACUGGAUAAAUGUGUAGUUGAAACUCCCAAACUUUAUAACUCUUGUGUAUUUUUAGUUGAUCUGUGUAAUGCUCUUGUUCAACUAUAGUUUAAUAUAAUUUUUUAUCGAACAUUGAGACUGUUUUGUGUCUUUUUGGUGACUGAUGCUACCAAAGAGUUUAAUUUGAUUAGGGUCAUAAAAUUGCAUAUAGAAUGUCCCUCUAGGUAUUACAGGUUGCGGUUAUGCAAGCAAAAGUGCUGACCGAGUCUUGUAUUUGGGUACAAUUUUAGCUCCUAGGUGCUUAAUUCUGUGCAAAAGUAAGGGACGCUUAAAUCUUGACAAAUGUCAACUUUUCCUCCCUAGUCCUUAUACGCACCUGUCAACCUGAGUAGUCUGUUUCCUCUUUGAGAUACUGAACUGCAGGUUAUAUUUGUUACAAUUUCCCUGCUCUGUUUAUAUCCGGUUCAGUAUCUUGGGUUUGAGCUUGCUAGUGUUUUAUGUAUUUCCUUUUGAUGUAUAGACGCAUGGAUGUUUUAAGCAGUGGGAAGCCUUGAAAGUUGGGCGGGGAUUCAAAAAUUUUAAAAAGCUCUAAACGGUGUAAGUAAAAGAAAUGCCAUGAAUUGUGUGAAAUAGUAAGAUAGCCUUCAUACUAGUAUGGCUUGAUUACUUUUGUCAGUGUUCACGUGGUUGCAUUGCCUUUUUCUCUUGAAAAUGGUAAUUUCCUUGUAUAUUGUCUCUUCUUCAUUGUAACUAUUUGAAAUCAUUGUAGUUCAUUGGCUUUUGACUUUUAAAAAUAUUUUUCUUCAGACCAAUUUAAGAUUCAAAUAAAACCAAGUGGAAAUGGAAUCAGUUGUAGCUAGAAAGGCCAAAGCAACCAUGAUUGUCGUUAUCAUAUGCUUCCUCUCUCCAUCUGUUGGUUUCCAUUAAAUCCUACUUACCGUCCUCAUAGUGGUAAACAUAUAUCAUUCUGGCUGUUCAUGUUGGACAGGAGGGAGAAGGUGCCACGGAGGAAUCCAAGAAGAGCAACCAUGUCCUGAGGAAGCUCGAAAAGCGCCAGCAGGGCCGCACACUUGACCCCCACAUCGAGGAGCAAUUCGGCGGUGGGAGGUUGUUGGCCUGUAUUUCUUCCCGCCCGGGUCAGUGCGGCAGAGCCGAUGGGUAAGAAGAGACACAUUCCUAUAUGCAACCAUUUUUUUUACUCUUUUUUUUUUUUUUCUUCUCUUUGAAUUGUGUGUUUAGCUUGACUUUUGGAACAACUUUGCUACUCUAGAAAGUAUGUGUUUGGCUUACAAAAAACGCCGACUCUUUAGUUAUGAAGCGGGGAGCUAGAAUGAGCUCUUAGGCUCGAAAUUACAAUCUAUAAUUUGAAGCUUCUUUUUCUUCUGCUUCUAUUGAGGCUUUUGAGAAGAUUAUAAAGGAAAAGUUGUUAGUGCUUCUCAGAACAGCUUUACCCGGCCAAACAACUCUGAGGAGAAAGGACCGGAGAGCGCUGUAAAUUUUCUAACUGGUAGAUAGACGUUUGAUUUCAGAAUGGUCUACAAUUUUUUGCAGAUAUAUUCUUGAAGGAAAGGAGCUAGAGUUCUACACCAAGAAGAUCCAGAGGAAGAAGGGCAAAGGUGGUGCAGGAGCCGCGGCUUAAGCAAACCCUUUAUUCUUUAUUCGUUCACUUAUCCGCACUUUGCCAACCUAUCCAUCUCCGCGUUUGCAAUGGUAGGUACCUAAUUGAGUUUCAACUUACACUGUUAAUCAAUCGAAAUUUUGAUAGUGAACUCUAGCUGGUAGGGAUGAGAACUUGUUUUUGUUGAUCGCAUGAUUGUAUGCUCGAGUAUGUAAACUUAGAUUUUCAUGCAUUUAAGAUUAUUUGCUCUGUGCCUGCUAUUAGCUUCAUUCCUUGAAUUAAUUGUAGAAAGAUCUAGCAAUGUGUUGCAUGGUCCACAUAAGAACCAAAAUAGGUAUUGUCUAUUGUCUUUCUUUUCAUACAUGUAUGCAUCAAAGGCGUGAAUUAAAGUGAAUGUUCUAACAUUGGAUCUUUUUUGUUAAAUGAAAAGAAUUUUUCGGCAGAAAUGUUCUUUUUUUUAACAAAAACCUGUGACUGGUGUUUACAAUAAUUUUCCAUCAGUAAAGUUGUGAAAUCUACUAUGUUUACCGAGUAGAAAAGCUCUAAAUUAUUAUUAUUAUUAUUAUUAUUAUUAUUAUUAUUAUUUACAUGCAAUGCAAUGCUAUAAAAGUUGGGUGCAAAAUUUACACCCAAUCCAUCUUAAGAGUUUAGAUAGCUCUGGUUUUAAAAACUUAAAAAAAAAAAGUGUGAAUUAGGCUAAUAAGUGUGAAACAAUGGGCUUUUGAGUGGAGGUGGUAGCAUUCCAAUUUUUUUUUGGGUGUACAUGUAUUACUCUUUCUCGAACUCUAUGACCUAGUUGGGUAAUGUGAUGACAAAAGAUAUUAUUUGUUUAUUAGGAUAAACUUCAAAUACCAAUCAUGUGGUUUCUCGAUUUUUCAUUGAUAGUAUCCUCUGGUUUAAAAUGCAUCAUUGUAGUAUCCUGUGGUUUUAUUUUUUUUUAUUUUUUUUCGUCAGUACCUCUGGUUCCGUGAUUUUUCGUUUUAGUAUCCUCUAGUUUAAAGUGUAUCAUUUUAGUACCCUGUGGUAUUAUUAUUCUUAUUAUUAUUAUUUUCGUGAGUACCCCUGCUAACUCUCCAUUAAACAAUUAUAUAUAUACAAAAAAUUUUAGAUACUCCAUUUAUAGUUUAUCUAAUAUUUACUUUAGUAUCAUAUGAAAAAUUAAUGUAGAGAAUAACGAAAAGAGAAAAAUGAAACCACAUGAUACUAAAGUCAUGUAUUUCAAACCAUAGAGUGUUAAAGUGAGAAAACGCAAAAUCAUAUGGGUGAUAUUUGAAGUUUUUUUCUUUAUUUUAUAAAGAUAAUAUCUAAUAUAUUUUUUAAAACUUUUAAAAUAUUUCAUACACCCAUGGUCGAUCAAAAUAUACUUGGUGUUUUUCAAAAAUUCUUUUGAAUAUUUCUAAAAUUUGAUGUAACAUUUCAAAACAUAUUACAUCAAAUUUGAACUUUUCAGAUAUAGAUUCAAAUAUAACAUCAAAAUAUACUGUUGACGACAGUAGCAUCCGGUACCAAUUAAGGAUGUCAAUGGAUACGAAUACUCAAAAUUUUACUUAUUGAAACUCAAAAAUGAACGCCGCUGAUUUAUCUAAUGCUAAACCUAUAUAUUUUUAGAUAUAGGUAUAAAAUAUAAAAAUUCGACAGAUUUGGAUUCGGGCAUUUUAUUUCUAAGUGAUCUGAAUCCGAAUUGAUUUUAUAUUAUAUAAUAUAUAUAUAUAUAAAUAUUUGAUGUUAUAUUUGAUUCUGUAUUUAAAAAGUUUAGAUUUGAUGUAAUAUGUUUUGAAAUAUAAUAAAAAAAAGAUUUGUUUUUGGGUUCGGGUUUCAAAUUUUUGGUUGGGUUUGGAUUCGGAUACAGACUUUAAAUUUCGCCGGAUUCAGAUUCAGGGCGUAGGGCUUGGUAGUCAAAUUGGCAUUCAGGCUUUUGAAAAUCUACCCCGAAUCCGAUUUGUUAACAUCUCUAGUUUCAAUUUGGGGUGUCAACGUGUCGGAUCCGACUCCAAAUCUGAAAUUCAAACCCGAACCCGAUAGAUUUUAAAACUUCAUAUCCAAAUUCGAAUCCGACCAAAAAUUCGAAACCCGAACCCGAAACAAUUAUUUCUCUUUUCAAUAUUUCAAAAUAUGUUACAUUAAAUUUAAAUUUUUAAAAUACAAAUUCAAAUAGAACAUCAAAUUUUUAUAUACAUAUUAUAUAUAAUGUGAAAUAAGUUCGAAUUCAAGUUCGAGUCGGGUAUAGUCAAAAUUCAUAUCCGAAUCCAUAUCCGUCGGAUCGUUGUUUUUAAUAUCCAUAUCCGAAAUUAUAUUCAUUUAGUAUCGAAUAAAUUCGCUCCGUUUAUAUUCGAGUUCGACAUCCCUAGUUUCAAUCUUUUUCGUAUCAGUCCUACAGUGUGGCUGCAGAGUAGGACUGUAGGAGCAAGAAAUGUCAAAAAUUUUAGUCCAAACCCAGUUUACAUCUACUCCGAUUUGGACGCGACAUCCGUCUGAUCAGGGACGAAGUCAGGAUUUAGACUUCGGAGGAUCUUAAAAUUGGUUUUUAUAAAAUAAAUUAUAAUAUAAGUUCGAUAUACAAGGCAAAAGCAUUUCACAAAAAAAAAAAAAAAAAAAAAAAACUUUGGCCUCUAAAUUUUAAUAAUACUUUUAAUUUUUAUUCUAUCAUAAUCAGAGACGAUUAUGUAAUUUUUAAAAAGUUGCGGGAGGCCGUGGCCAUUGUGAGCCUCUCAAUAGCUCAGUCACUGUUGUCCUUUUCUACCUUUAUCUUUCAGUUAAAGUGGAAAUAGCCUUGGUAAAUUUUGCAACUAGCAAUGAAUGAAAUUUUUAGAAAACUGCAGAAAUAGCCUUGGUAAAGUUGAGUUCCGCACAAACUGCAAACUGUAAUCGCAUCAUCUGCUAAAGUUUUGUACUGCAGCUGGAGGACAUGCAGAGCAUGUUGGCUGGCGCCAGCAUAUUUUUGAAAAAUUAAUCUGAGAAGUAGUUACCACCGCUUUAUUCUAAUUCGAUCUGGAGAUGAGUGGAAGACCAUUUCAAAGAAGCGAGACGGCUUCUAUGAAUGGCUAGCCUCAAAGAGAGGGAGAGAAAAAAAAAAUAAAAAACUUCAUUAGUUUUUGCCCGAAGGGCAGCUCUACGUCUCCCAAGAAGAAUUCUAGACAAUAUUUUAAAAAUCAGAUCGAACAGUGUCCUAAGAAUAUUACUGGAUCAAGAGUCACUGAUUCAAUAAACACUAAUUGAACCAGUCACUUCAACAUGACGUCAUAAAUACUUGAUUAUUAUUUUUAGUUUUAUUAUAAAGAUAUAUGUAUUAUUCUAGUAUCGUAUUUACUUAAAAAAUACUGAGUUUUAGACCAAAUUAAGUAGACAUAAGUUUUUUUAAGACUAGUAUAUGAUAAUAGAAAAUAAAAUCAUUGAUUUCUAAGCCGUUGGAUUUUACUAUAACUUAGAUCAAACGGCCAAGUUUAAUUAAAACCAGAGCGGUUCACUGGUUCGAUAGUUGAACCGUCGAAUGAAAUAGUUAAAAACAGUUCUUUGACUUAUCUCAUUGAAAGGGUGAACUGAACUGAACUGAACUGCUUCCAAGAAUGCUCUAAAGAAUGCAAAAGGCCAGAUUGCCUAGGUAACCAAGAAAAAGGGAACGGCGGGCGCUACCUUACCACUCUUUCCGAUGGCAAUGAUCGGAAAAAAGGAAGGUGUGUGGUUGAUGUGUCACUAGGUCGGCCCGGGAUACGACCUGCCGGAUUCACAACAGAAAUCGCCAACAUGAACACAAUCGAUGCUCGAUUGCGUUCCUACUCCAUUCUAUUCUCCAGUGAAAUCUCAUAGAAUGCCGAUGGAAUACAUUUUGGAAAGAAAACUAUUUAGUACUUUGGCCUCCUAGUGUUUGUUUCAUCGAAAGUGGAGAGGAAUGAAAUAACUUUUUAUUGUUUACUGUAACUUUACCUUCGGUCGAAACUCAGACUCCUCAAAAUGCCAUACUUGUUAAAAAAAAGAAGAAAAUAAUAAAAUAUUAAUCUAUCUCUCAUAUUUUCGAUUGUGUUCAUGUUUUUCAAAACAGCGCAAUUUCAAAAUAAGAUUGCGCUGUUUGAAAAGAAUGUUGCACUCUUUGAGACGAAAAUUAUAUUUUUUGAUACGAAAAUUGCACUCCUUAACCGAUAGUUAUACUUUUUUAAAAAAAGUUGCACUUUUUAUUCCGAUAAUGCAAAUUAACAAUUAAAUGAUUAAUAAUGGUGUGGCAUUACCUACAGCGGCCAAACAUCAUUUGAAGUCUUGUCGAGCGCCCGGACGUGCCUGUCGAGCAACCGGAGACACGCCUCAGCCUUAGGCGGCACCCGGGUGCGGGCACGCCGUCGAGCGCCCGGAGCAGCGACUAAUGAGCAAUCCCCUAUCCAUGGAUGGGUGGGGAAUAGGAUGUACACUCAUCUUUCGGUGUACAAUUAGCUUUUUCCAACUUUUAUAUAAAAUAUUCCAAAUUGAUCCCCGUACUUUUAUUUCAAUCACAUAUUGGACUUUUUUACAAAAUAGCCCUCUAAAAUUUUGGUAUUUGCGAAAUAACUCUACCAAAAUUAUAUUUGAAAAAUUAAUCCUCUUUUUUCCAUGUAGGUGCCACGGUUGAAUUUUCUCUUAAAUACGGUGAAUAAUUUACCGUUUUGCGGUGAAUCCUUUACCAUCUUUCACUUAUUUACUGUUUCUUUUUAUAUCACAUAUAUAAUCCUAACAACCACAUAAAUAUUUUAAUAAAUCACAUAUAGUCUUAACAACCUGAAAAUUUUAAUAAUUUAUCAUACAAUCCUAAUAAUCAAAAAAAUCCUAAUAAUCUAUCCAUAUAAUCCUAAUAAUCAAAUAUCACAUAUAAUCUUAACCGCUUGAAAAUCUUAAUAAUCUAUUCAUACAAUCCUUAUAAUAAAAAAAUUCUAAUAACUUAUCCAUACAAUCCUAACAAUCAAAUAAAAAUUCUAAUAAUCUAUAUACGUACAAUUUUAACAACCUCAAACAACCUCACUUGUUUUCUUUUUUCCAUAUAUAAUCCUCGCCGUUAAAAAUUAUGAAGAAGGCGGUAAAUCGUUAACGAUCUUUAUAAAUACAGCAAACGAUUCACUAUCUUUAAAAGACAUCGGAGACUUUUAGUUUGCCGGAUAUAAAUUUGGCAUACUCAUUUUGCAAAUUAUAAAAUUUUAGAGAGUUAUUUUGAAAAAAAAAAAAUCCCCCACAUUUGUCAAUACCAUCUGAACUUACUCAUUGCCAAAUAAACAUUUUGGAGCCUUCGAGUUAACUGAGGCACGCGAAUCAUUUAUUACAUCGUAUCAAAUAGCAAUUUUACGCCGAGAAGCUCAGGUGCUCAGGUAAAAGUAGAGGGUGAUCAAACCGGACAACAGCGACUACCCAGA
rnacentral:lncRNA from 1 species